CUCAUUUCUGAGCUGUGUCGCCUGCAAGAGUAAUGGUGAUUCUUACAAUUAAGAUAAAUUCAUAAAAAGAUAUAUUCUGAAUAACAAGGAAUUGGCAUGCAAUGAAUAUUCAAUUUUAACACAACCCUUUUGACUCUAGAAGAAAAUGACUUGCAUGAUCUUUAUGCAUUGGAAUGAUUUCAAGAGCUCUAGCACAAUAUUUAUAUUUAACUUGGUUUGAAUACGCCUUUCUCAUUUUAUAGAAUGAAUAUAUAUCCUUCCAAAGUGAUGAAAAUAAUGCCUUCAAAUGUUUGAAAAAUGCAAGCAAAAUGAUCAUAGAACUUCCCUGUUAAUAAAAACAUACAACUCCUGAGAUAACCACUAUAUCUCUGAGAACUGUUUAAAUGUUCAAUUGUACUAAGCACAUGAAAGUGAUGUUUGCAACACAUUAACAAACAAUAAUGAUGGUGCCAUAUA
rnacentral:misc_RNA from 1 species